rnacentral:rRNA from 1 species
UCCUGGAUCCAGGCUCAUGAUGAACGCUAGCUACUGGCUUAACACAUGCAAGUCGAGGGGCAGCGGGAUUGAAGCUUGCUUCAAUUGCCGGCGACCGGCGCACGGGUGAGUAACGCGUAUCCAACCUUCCGUACACUCAGGGAUAGCCUUUCGAAAGAAAGAUUAAUACCUGAUGGUAUGAUGAGAUUGCAUGAUAGCAUCAUUAAAGAUUUAUCGGUGUACGAUGGGGAUGCGUUCCAUUAGGUAGUAGGCGGGGUAACGGCCCACCUAGCCAACGAUGGAUAGGGGUUCUGAGAGGAAGGUCCCCCACAUUGGAACUGAGACACGGUCCAAACUCCUACGGGAGGCAGCAGUGAGGAAUAUUGGUCAAUGGACGAGAGUCUGAACCAGCCAAGUAGCGUGAAGGAUGAAGGUCCUACGGAUUGUAAACUUCUUUUAUAAGGGAAUAAACCCUCCCACGUGUGGGAGCUUGUAUGUACCUUAUGAAUAAGCAUCGGCUAACUCCGUGCCAGCAGCCGCGGUAAUACGGAGGAUGCGAGCGUUAUCCGGAUUUAUUGGGUUUAAAGGGAGCGCAGGCUGCGAGGCAAGUCAGCGGUCAAAUGUCGGGGCUCAACCCCGGCCUGCCGUUGAAACUGUCCUGCUAGAGUUCGAGUGAGGUAUGCGGAAUGCGUUGUGUAGCGGUGAAAUGCAUAGAUAUGACGCAGAACUCCGAUUGCGAAGGCAGCAUACCAACUCGCGACUGACGCUGAGGCUCGAAAGCGUGGGUAUCGAACAGGAUUAGAUACCCUGGUAGUCCACGCAGUAAACGAUG